UACGGGAGGCAGCAGUGGGGAAUUUUGGACAAUGGGCGAAAGCCUGAUCCAGCAAUGCCGCGUGCAGGAAGAAGGCCUUCGGGUUGUAAACUGCUUUUGUACGGAACGAAAAGGUCUGCCCUAAUACGGUGGGCUCAUGACGGUACCGUAAGAAUAAGCACCGGCUAACUACGUGCCAGCAGCCGCGGUAAUACGUAGGGUGCGAGCGUUAAUCGGAAUUACUGGGCGUAAAGCGUGCGCAGGCGGUUAUAUAAGACAGUUGUGAAAUCCCCGGGCUCAACCUGGGAAUUGCAUCUGUGACUGUAUAGCUAGAGUACGGUAGAGGGGGAUGGAAUUCCGCGUGUAGCAGUGAAAUGCGUAGAUAUGCGGAGGAACACCGAUGGCGAAGGCAAUCCCCUGGACCUGUACUGACGCUCAUGCACGAAAGCGUGGGGAGCAAACAGGAUUAGAUACCCUGGUAGUCCACGCCCUAAACGAUGUCAACUGGUUGUUGGGUGCAUUAGUACUCAGUAACGAAGCUAACGCGUGAAGUGACCGCCUGG
rnacentral:rRNA from 1 species